rnacentral:rRNA from 1 species
GUGCCAGCAGCCGCGGUAAUACGUAGGGGGCAAGCGUUGUCCGGAAUCAUUGGGCGUAAAGCGCGUGUAGGCGGUUUCGUAAGUCUGCUGUGAAAGUCGGAGGCUCAACCUUCGAAUGCCAGUGGAUACUGUGAGACUUGAGUACGGAAGAGGAGAGUGGAAUUCCUGGUGUAGCGGUGAAAUGCGCAGAUAUCAGGAGGAACACCAACGGCGAAGGCAGCUCUCUGGGACGUAACUGACGCUGAGACGCGAAAGCGUGGGGAGCAAACAGGAUUAGAUACCCGGGUAGUCC